rnacentral:rRNA from 2 species
UGAUUGAUGGUGCUUGCACCUGAUUGAUUUUGGUCGCCAACGAGUGGCGGACGGGUGAGUAACACGUAGGUAACCUGCCCAGAAGCGGGGGACAACAUUUGGAAACAGAUGCUAAUACCGCAUAACAGCGUUGUUCGCAUGAACAACGCUUAAAAGAUGGCUUCUCGCUAUCACUUCUGGAUGGACCUGCGGUGCAUUAGCUUGUUGGUGGGGUAACGGCCUACCAAGGCGAUGAUGCAUAGCCGAGUUGAGAGACUGAUCGGCCACAAUGGGACUGAGACACGGCCCAUACUCCUACGGGAGGCAGCAGUAGGGAAUCUUCCACAAUGGGCGCAAGCCUGAUGGAGCAACACCGCGUGAGUGAAGAAGGGUUUCGGCUCGUAAAGCUCUGUUGUUAAAGAAGAACACGUAUGAGAGUAACUGUUCAUACGUUGACGGUAUUUAACCAGAAAGUCACGGCUAACUACGUGCCAGCAGCCGCGGUAAUACGUAGGUGGCAAGCGUUAUCCGGAUUUAUUGGGCGUAAAGAGAGUGCAGGCGGUUUUCUAAGUCUGAUGUGAAAGCCUUCGGCUUAACCGGAGAAGUGCAUCGGAAACUGGAUAACUUGAGUGCAGAAGAGGGUAGUGGAACUCCAUGUGUAGCGGUGGAAUGCGUAGAUAUAUGGAAGAACACCAGUGGCGAAGGCGGCUACCUGGUCUGCAACUGACGCUGAGACUCGAAAGCAUGGGUAGCGAACAGGAUUAGAUACCCUGGUAGUCCAUGCCGUAAACGAUGAGUGCUAGGUGUUGGAGGGUUUCCGCCCUUCAGUGCCGGAGCUAACGCAUUAAGCACUCCGCCUGGGGAGUACGACCGCAAGGUUGAAACUCAAAGGAAUUGACGGGGGCCCGCACAAGCGGUGGAGCAUGUGGUUUAAUUCGAAGCUACGCGAAGAACCUUACCAGGUCUUGACAUCUUGCGCCAACCCUAGAGAUAGGGCGUUUCCUUCGGGAACGCAAUGACAGGUGGUGCAUGGUCGUCGUCAGCUCGUGUCGUGAGAUGUUGGGUUAAGUCCCGCAACGAGCGCAACCCUUGUUACUAGUUGCCAGCAUUAAGUUGGGCACUCUAGUGAGACUGCCGGUGACAAACCGGAGGAAGGUGGGGACGACGUCAGAUCAUCAUGCCCCUUAUGACCUGGGCUACACACGUGCUACAAUGGACGGUACAACGAGUCGCGAACUCGCGAGGGCAAGCAAAUCUCUUAAAACCGUUCUCAGUUCGGACUGCAGGCUGCAACUCGCCUGCACGAAGUCGGAAUCGCUAGUAAUCGCGGAUCAGCAUGCCGCGGUGAAUACGUUCCCGGGCCUUGUACACACCGCCCGUCACACCAUGAGAGUUUGUAACACCCAAAGUCGGUGG